rnacentral:lncRNA from 1 species
AAAAUUAAAUAAAUAGACUAACAAAGAGAACCUCAAUCUAAGCAUGGUGCCUGGGAAGUGGCAGCAACUGCUGACUGACCACAGGUGACUUGGAAAUCUCCAGCACCAAGUUGGAGCCACUAAGAGGGCAAAGAAGCAAACCUGAGGCCUCCAGUCAGGCAGAGCAGAAAGGGGACGGCAUAGCUACCUUUCACCUAACAGUUUGAUUCAGAGAGAUGAAAGAGAAAAGCAAACUCUAAAAACCAAGUCAAAAUUGAUGGAGAAAUAAGAUACUUUCAUGAUAAAGAGCACCUCAGGAACUUCAUGAACACCAAACCAGCACUCCAAAAAAUUUUAGACAAUACCCUAGGAAAAGACAAUGAGGAUCACAACCCCAGGAAACCCAGCAGAAUGAAUCCAUUGGGUGUGACAAAUUAAAUGCGAAGGGGGAG